UGUACAAGUAGCAGAGCGCACGCGCACGUUUCACGACGUUCAAUAGGGUUCGAUUCCGAAGGGAGCCUGAGAUAAUCUACACAUCCAAGGAAGGCAGCAGGCGCGCAAAUUACCCAAUCCCAACACGGGGAGGUAGUGACAAUAUGUAACAAUAUACGGCCUUAUACGUCGUAUAAUUGGAAUGAGUACAAUUUAAAUCCCUUAACGAGGAACAAUUGGAGGGCAAGUCUGGUGCCAGCAGCCGCGGUAAUUCCAGCUCCAAUAGCGUAUAUAAAAGUUGUUGCAGUUAAAAAGCUCGUAGUUGGACCUUGGACCUGGACAGGCGGUCCGCCUCACGGCGAGUACUGUCUUGCUGGGUCUUUCCUCUUGGUGAUCUGUUGUUUCGGCAGCAGGGAACCAGGACCUUUACUUUGAAAAAAUUAGAGUGUUCAAAGCAGGCUCGACGCCCGAAUAUAUUAGCAUGGAAUAAUAAAAUAGGACGUGCGGUUCUAUUUUGUUGGUUUUUGGAAUCGCCGUAAUGAUUAAUAGGGACAGUCGGGGGCAUUAGUACUCACAUGCUAGAGGUGAAAUUCUUGGAUUUUGUGAAGACUAACUUCUGCGAAAGCAUUUGCCAAGGAUGUUUUCAUUAAUCAGAACGAAGGUGAGGGGUAUCGACAACGAUAGAUACCGUUGUAGUCUUAACAGUAACUAUGCCGACUAGGGAUCCGUCGAUGUAUCU
rnacentral:rRNA from 1 species